rnacentral:rRNA from 1 species
GACGAACGCUGGCGGCGUGCCUAAUACAUGCAAGUCGAGCGAAGUUUUUCUGGUGCUUGCACUAGAAAAACUUAGCGGCGAACGGGUGAGUAACACGUAAAGAACCUGCCUCAUAGACUGGGACAACUAUUGGAAACGAUAGCUAAUACCGGAUAACAGUAUUUCUCGCAUGAGAGAUAUUUAAAAGUUGGUUAUGCUAACACUAUGAGAUGGCUUUGCGGUGCAUUAGCUAGUUGGUGGGGUAAAGGCCUACCAAGGCGACGAUGCAUAGCCGACCUGAGAGGGUGAUCGGCCACACUGGGACUGAGACACGGCCCAGACUCCUACGGGAGGCAGCAGUAGGGAAUCUUCCGCAAUGGGCGAAAGCCUGACGGAGCAACGCCGCGUGAGUGAAGAAGGAUUUCGGUUCGUAAAGCUCUGUUGUUAGGGAAGAAUGGAUAUGUAGUAACUAUACAUAUAAGAGACGGUACCUAACCAGAAAGCCACGGCUAACUACGUGCCAGCAGCCGCGGUAAUACGUAGGUGGCAAGCGUUGUCCGGAAUUAUUGGGCGUAAAGCGCGCGCAGGUGGUUUAAUAAGUCUGAUGUGAAAGCCCACGGCUCAACCGUGGAGGGUCAUCGGAAACUGUUAAACUUGAGUGCAGGAGAGAAAAGUGGAAUUCCUAGUGUAGCGGUGAAAUGCGUAGAGAUUAGGAGGAACACCAGUGGCGAAGGCGGCUUUUUGGCCUGUAACUGACACUGAGGCGCGAAAGCGUGGGGAGCAAACAGG